rnacentral:lncRNA from 1 species
CGUGUGUCAUCUUUUAAUUAUUAUUAUUUUGUUUUGUUUUAUUAUUAUUUUCUUGUGAAACUAGGAUGAAAGCAAAUUGGAUUAGUUUAUUAGAUUCUCACGUGAAUUCUGGUGCAAUUCAAAUUACUAGAUAGAGUCCUACCUAGGAUGAAAGCAAAUUGGAUUAAUUAUUAGAUUUCUGUGUGAAAUUUUGGUGCAAUUCAAAUGGCUAGACAGAGUCCAACUUUCAAAAGGAGACCUUCGAAACUACUGCGUCCACAUUGAAAUAAAAUUUCUUCCAUUAAUAUAAUUUUCAUACAGUACACGCACCUUCAUUCAAAGAGAAAAGUUUUAAAAAAAUUUUGGUCCGACGUAGCCAUUACAUUAUCUCCGUGAACUAAGGUAGGAUCCCUAUGCGAAAUUGUCAUUAUAUGAAUUUAAUAUUCAAUUAAGUAUGUAUUCGUUAUAUUUGCAUGAAGUAUAUAAAGUACCUUUGGAGCUUUCUCCUAAAUUUUGAUGAAAAAAAGGUUUAUAUAUGUUUAAACUGAUGGUCGUAGAGACUCAUCAAAACUUUAAGUAUAUAUGUUAAACUAAUGGUCGCAGAGAUUCAUCAUACCCUUACGUAGAUCAUUUGAUCAUCGAUUUAUCUAUUUAUGAAGGCAACAUAUAAGAAUGCAUGAUUAAAUGUAUGAUUAUUAUGUUCAUAUAGUACGUGUAGCUUAUUGAGUAUUUCUUUGAGAUUCUCACUCUUAUUUAACCCUUUUUAGAAUAAUCGGAGAUUAGGUGAUGGAUUGACAUGAAUGACAUGUACUAUUUUUAGAGAAAUUUAUUCUUAUAUUUCAGAUUGCCACUUUUAUGUUUAAUAAUUAUUUGAAGUCCCUGAGAUUGUAGUUUGAAUUCAUGUUUUGAGACGGAAAGGUUUUAAUGUUCGUGGGUGCGUUUUAUUUUUUCUUUUUUUUUUCUUUUUUUUUUUUCUUUUGGAAGAUUUCAGAAUUUUGCCACUAUUUUUAACACGGUACUAUGGUCG